AUACGGAGGGUCCGAGCGUUAAUCGGAAUUACUGGGCGUAAAGCGCGCGUAGGCGGCUUAUUAAGUCAGAUGUGAAAUCCCCGGGCUCAACCUGGGAACUGCGUCUGAUACUGGUAAGCUAGAGUUUUGGAGAGGGAAGUAGAAUUUCAGGUGUAGCGGUGAAAUGCAUAGAGAUCUGAAGGAAUACCAGUGGCGAAGGCGACUUCCUGGCCAAAAACUGACGCUGAGGUGCGAAAGCGUGGGUAGCAAACGGGAUUAGAAACCCCAGUAGUCC
rnacentral:rRNA from 1 species